rnacentral:rRNA from 1 species
GACAGAGGGUGCAAACGUUGUUCGGAAUUACUGGGCGUAAAGCGCGUGUAGGCGGUUAUGCAAGUCGGGUGUGAAAGCCCGGAGCUCAACUCCGGAAGUGCAUUCGAUACUGCGUAGCUAGAGUACUGGAGAGGAUGGUGGAACUCUCGGUGUAGAGGUGAAAUUCGUAGAUAUCAGGAGGAACACCAAUUGCGAAGGCAGCUCGCUGGGACGUUACUGACGCUGAGACGCGAAAAGCGUGGGGAGCAAACAGG